rnacentral:misc_RNA from 1 species
UACGUAGGGAGCAAGCGUUGUUCGGAAUUACUGGGCAUAAAGCGCACGUAGGCGGCCUACCAAGUCAGAUGUGAAAGCCCCUGGCUCAACCAGGGAAUUGCAUUUGAAACUGGCAGGCUUGAGGGCGGCAGGGGAGAGUGGAACUCGUGGUGGAGCGGUGAAAUGCGUAGAUAUCACGAGGAACGCCGGUGGCGAAAGCGACUCUCUGGGCCGUUCCUGACGCUGAGGUGCGAAAGCCAGGGUAGCGAACGGG